rnacentral:lncRNA from 1 species
UUCGUUGCCGCAUCUGACUACGACGCCUUCACUCCGGGAUGGUGGCGGACUUCGCGACAACAAACUAACCGUCCUGAUUAUAGGGUAUCGGAGAAACGGAGACUCUUCACGUCGUUUUCACGGCUCUACACAGCGUUUUCCGGUUUUUCUCGCGAUAAAGAAGUCUUCGCCCAUCUGGUCUCUCGCACUCGGUCUCUGCCGAACCGCCUUCUCCGCCUUCUCCCCUGGACGGGUGCGCAGCCGGUGCGACACACCGGAGGGGGAACCCCCCGUCGCCGUACCCAUCGAUUCUCUUACCGUGGAGUAUCCGCCAACGAAGCGGGGCAAAGUGAGCCUUUCUCCUUCUCGUCUUUUCCAGAGGGCCGCCGUAUCCAUUGGCGGAAGGCACUUCUGGAGCCUCCUGUCCCCGCCGCGAGCCAGCUGAUUCCAAACUGCGCACGAUGACGGCGUGCUCAAACGGAAGCCGUGCGUUGCCGGGAGGGUAUCCAGAUUCUUGUCUUUAUCUGUGCCAGGAAUGACGAAGACUGACAGCGAGGAAGCCAGAAAAGCGAGAUCUUUGCAUGCGACCAGCACGGAAGAACAACGGGGAAUUUGAAGCCGGCAGCCGCGCGGCCUCGUCCGAGCGCCGUGCUCAAACCCCAGCGCAUUCUGUUUUUAUCACUUCCGCUCCAUUGGCAAAAUGGAGGGAGUCUCUGCGUCGGAGAACCCACAGAAAAUGCGCAGUGGGUCCGUGCUGGGCAGUGACGCGUACAGACACAACGGAGGCCGGAAACGGCGAGCUCUCCUGCCACCGCUUUUGCUCGUGGCUGCCUUCGUCGCGGGGCUCGAUGUGGAGCGGGAAACCUCGCUUCCUCCCGCAAGUUCUUCUUUCC